AGAUUGAACGCUGGCGGCAGGCCUAACACAUGCAAGUCGAGCGGUAGAGAGGUGCUUGCAUCUCUUGAGAGCGGCGGACGGGCGAGUAAUGCCUAGGAAUCUGCCUAGUGGUGGGGGAUAACGUUCGGAAACGGACGCUAAUACCGCAUACGUCCUCCGGGAGAAAGCGGGGGACCUUCGGGCCUCGCGCCAUUAGAUGAGCCUAGGUCGGAUUAGCUAGUUGGUGAGGUAAUGGCUCACCAAGGCGACGAUCCGUAACUGGUCUGAGAGGAUGAUCAGUCACACUGGAACUGAGACACGGUCCAGACUCCUACGGGAGGCAGCAGUGGGGAAUAUUGGACAAUGGGCGAAAGCCUGAUCCAGCCAUGCCGCGUGUGUGAAGAAGGUCUUCGGAUUGUAAAGCUACUUUAAGUUGGAGAAGGUUGAACCUAAUACGUUGCAACUUUGACUUACGACAGAAUAAGCACCGGCUAACUCGUAGCCUAGCAGCCGUACGG
rnacentral:rRNA from 1 species